rnacentral:lncRNA from 1 species
AUGCUUUUUUGCCCUCUAUUUUACCAUGCACAGAAUUCUCAGAUAUCCAGUGACUACUUUAUAGCCUCCCUCCAAGCUGAGAGCGUAGCAGUCGCCUUCUGGUGUCACCUAACUUGGCCCUCCCGAGGCUGUGAGGUAAGUCUCAUGUGUGAGCUUAAUGAGAUGACAACCUGCCCAAGGCCCAGUGUGGGUGGGCGCUGGGUCUGUCUGACUUCCAGGGCCACGUGUGGGUGUGAGCUUGUCUGCCAACGCCCAGCAUUGCAGAAAUAGUGGUGUAGACAGCAAGAGGGCCCUGUAUGUCUACUAGCAGAGCCACUCCUGAGCUUCCUGCCUCAAAGGCAUAAGAGAAUUUUACAAGUGUCAGAACUGGAUGUUCAUCACUUCAGCCCACACACACGUCCUGGGCUCUUUUCAGUGGCUGCAUGCGGACAUGUGUUAUCAAGGGUGGGUUUGUGCAGAAAACACACUGUUUACAUUACUUGGUUUAAAGUAAUAUUUAAUAUUUGAAUACGUGCUUAGGAAAGUUAUGAAUGUAAAAUCCUAAAUUUCCCUGUGGAUUUAAGUACAACUUGCAGCUAUCAUCAUUCCAUUUAUGCAUCUUGGGAAGUUAGAAGCAGCACCAUUCAGCUUUUCUUGUGUCAGUUAGUGUAACUCAAAUUAAACCCACCGAUUUUCUUAAACACCGGUUUUGUUUACAACUAAGUUAAUGAAAUUUUCUUAAAAUCUGAAACGGUGUAUCUAAAAAUCCAGUAUAUCUGGGGUUCUUUUACGCAAGCUCUGAAUCUGUGAGAAUUUUCUUCCCCAGCAAGAAGAACUUAACAUUUAGACAGUCUGUUGCAAAGGUCUUUACAUAAUAUGAAAGCAUCGUGUCUUAGUCAGACAUUUGGUGACAUAAUGCCACUUAAGGAACCUCAAAAUUUCACCAGUUUAAAAUGCAAGCAUGGAAGCCCUGCUCAGGUCUGUUGUUCAGCUGGGGGCUCUGCUUCGGCCUGAGGGCUGAGGUCUGUCUCCACCGUGAAGUUGAACACCCAGUCUCCAGCACGCAUCACGGGCCGAGCCCGGGUCAAUGGGCCCACAAGUGUCUGUUCCACUAACCCUACUGGUAGACAUGAGAAGGAGACGCGGCCCUGGGUGUAGAAAGAACAAUCCCAUUACAGGAGGGCAUGGAGAACGGGGCAGCCGUCCCAUCGCCACAUCUCGGUGUCCAUAGUAACUGGCCAGAGUCACACGCAGGACCGAAACCAUCCAACCGGGGAGAGGGGCUCUUUUAAACAGACAAGAUGCAUAAUACACAAAGAAGAAACAGUGCUCGUCAACCUUAGUUAGAUGCUACAGUAAGGAAAUCUGAGAAGUACAGGAGAAAUUUAAAUUUACUUCAAGUGUUAUCAGAGGUGAACGCAUCUCGCAGCCUUCGACAGAUCAAGCAGAGAAAAACAAUGAGAUCUGUGAAAUAUGAUAAAGAAAUUGUAAAUUAAUAGCUAUAAAGCUAACUGCUCUGCAAAGACAAACACUUCUCUGUCACUUAGAAUAACAAUCAAACGUUUAUAGAAAAUAAUGCCACUAUUCAAAGACAUCUUUAAUGAAUUUAUGGAAUGAUGCGUUUGCACCACAGUUUAAAAAUAAUAAAAGAAAAUUAGAAACAGAUAACA